UUUGAAGAGGGGAAAGCCCAAAUUUGUAAUCUGGCUCUUUUAUAAGGGUCCGAGUUGUAAUUUUGAGAACUGUUUUCCGUGCUGGACCAUGUACAAGUCUGUUGAAAAACAGCAUCAUUGAGGGUGAUAAUCCCGUACAUGAUAUGGACUACCAGGACAAUGUGAUACAGUCUCUAAGAGUCGAGUUGUUUGGGAAUGCAGCUCAAAGUGGGUGGUAAAUUCCAUCUAAGGCUAAAUAUAGGUGAGAGACCGAUAGCAAACAAGUACCGUGAGGGAAAGAUGAAAAGAACUUUGGAAAGAGAGUUAACAGUACGUGAAAUUGUUAAAAGGGAAACAUUUGAAGUUACACUUGUUAUUGUUGGUUCAGCUCUUUUUUUAAGGGUGUAUUCCAAUGGUUAACAGACCAGCAUCAAUUUUUGGGUGUUAGAUAAGGGUCUUGAGAAUGUAGCAACCUCGGUUGUGUUAUAGAUCUUGACUUGAUAUAAUGCUUAGGAUUGAGGAACGCAGUGAGCUUCUUUUUUGAAGUGGAUGUUUUUUUUAAAUGUCUCAUCACUACGGUGGUUUGGUGUAAA
rnacentral:rRNA from 1 species